rnacentral:tRNA from 1 species
GGCCCCAUCGUCUAAUGGUUAGGAUACUUGGUUUUCAUCCAAGAGAUAGGGGUUCGAUUCCCCUUGGGGCUA